rnacentral:rRNA from 1 species
AUUGAACGCUGGCGGCAUGCUUUACACAUGCAAGUCGAACGGUAACAGGUUAAGCUGACGAGUGGCGAACGGGUGAGUAAUGCAUCGGAACGUGCCUGAUAGUGGGGGACAACCAGUCGAAAGACUGGCUAAUACCGCAUAAUAUCCAAGGAUGAAAGUGGGGGAUCGCAAGACCUCAUGCUAUUAGAGCGGCCGAUGUCAGAUUAGGUAGUUGGUGGGGUAAAGGCUCACCAAGCCGACGAUCUGUAGCUGGUCUGAGAGGACGACCAGCCACACUGGGACUGAGACACGGCCCAGACUCCUACGGGAGGCAGCAGUGGGGAAUUUUGGACAAUGGGCGCAAGCCUGAUCCAGCAAUGCCGCGUGCAGGAAGAAGGCCUUCGGGUUGUAAACUGCUUUUGUACAGAACGAAAAAGUUUUUGUUAAUACCAGAGACUGAUGACGGUACUGUAAGAAUAAGCACCGGCUAACUACGUGCCAGCCGCCGCCGUAAUAC